GCACUAAGAAAAUUACUAUUCUCUAUUUAUUUAUGGUUUUACACGAUGAUUACUUUUAAGUCCGUCUUUAUAUUAGAUGUUAAAUCUCUAUGCCGAAAGUAUUUGUUAUUGUAACUCGCCUUAAGUUCUUACUUAUUGGCUGCACUUUGAUUUGUAAUUUGCUAAAUUUAUAGUUUACAAUUUCGCCAUAGGCGAGAUCAAGACAACGGUAUGCAAGCUUUUAAAAGUAAGUAGUAUUUUCUUGGUGGCUGUCAAUUAUAUGGUAAGUUCCCCUAAAGUAUUUUCUUAGCCGCCAUAAUAUUUAAGUUUGGGCCCAGUAGUAAGCAUUAAUCCUUGUUAUAUAAAUAAUAGUCUCCGUAUAACUGGGUCUCUAAUCCAGGUUUAAUUUACAGAGUUUAGAUGUAUUACAUGAACCAGAUAGUUUAAAAUAACUAUUAGCAUUUCACCGCAUAAUAAUUUAUUAUAGUUCUUGUGUUAGCAUAAUAUAUAACAAUUACUUUAGAUAUAUCUAUUAGGUUUGACCGCGGUUGCUGGCACCUAAUAAACCUAGACUAUAUAGUUAUCUAAAUCUAAUUUUCAUUAAUUUUUAAAAUUUUUAACUGGAUUAUUUUAUUAUUAUUCCAUAUUAAGUUAGACUAUAAACCUAUAGUUUCAUCAUAUUAAAGUGAAAGAGUCUAUGGGGGAGUUAAUACCAUUUUAGA
rnacentral:rRNA from 1 species